rnacentral:rRNA from 1 species
UACGGAGGGUGCGAGCGUUAAUCGGAAUUACUGGGCGUAAAGCGCACGCAGGCGGUUUGUUAAGCUAGAUGUGAAAGCCCCGGGCUCAACCUGGGAUGGUCAUUUAGAACUGGCAGACUAGAGUCUUGGAGAGGGGAGUGGAAUUCCAGGUGUAGCGGUGAAGUGCGUAGAUAUCUGGAGGAACAUCAGUGGCGAAGGCGACUCCCUGGCCAAAGACUGACGCUCAUGUGCGAAAGUGUGGGUAGCGAACAGG